AUUGAACGCUGGCGGCAGGCCUAACACAUGCAAGUCGAACGCGUGUCGGACGGGUGAGUAAUGUCUAGGAAACUGCCCGCUGGAGGGGGAGAACUACAGGAAACGGUAGCUCAUACCGCAUACCAUCGGAUGUGCCCAGAUGGGAUUAGCUAGUAGGUGGGGUAACGGCUCACCAAGGCGACGAUACCUAGCUGGUCUGAGAGGAGGACCAGCCACACUGGAACUGAGACACGGGCCAGACUCCUACGGGAGGCAGCAGUGGGGAAUAUUGCACAAUGGGCGCAAGCCUGAUGCAGCCAUGCCGCGUGUAUGAAGAAGGCCUUCGGGUUGUAAAGUACUUUCAGCGAGGAGGCGUUACUCGCAGAAGAAGCACCGGCUAACUCCGUGCCAGCAGCCGCGGUAAUAC
rnacentral:rRNA from 1 species